rnacentral:rRNA from 1 species
CGAACGCUGGCGGCGUGCCUAAUACAUGCAAGUAGCACGCUGAAGGAGGAGCUUGCUUCUCUGGAUGAGUUGCGAACGGGUGAGUAACGCGUAGGUAACCUGCCUGGUAGCGGGGGAUAACUAUUGGAAACGAUAGCUAAUACCGCAUAAUAGUAGAUGUUGCAUAACAUUUGCUUAAAAGGUGCAAUUGCAUCACUACCAGAUGGACCUGCGUUGUAUUAGCUAGUUGGUGGGGUAACGGCUCACCAAGGCGACGAUACAUAGCCGACCUGAGAGGGUGGUCGGCCACACUGGGACUGUGACACGGCCCAGACUCCUACGGGAGGCAGCAGUAGGGAAUCUUCGGCAAUGGACGGAAGUCUGACCGAGCAACGCCGCGUGAGUGAAGAAGGUUUUCGGAUCGUAAAGCUCUGUUGUAAGAGAAGAACGAGUGUGAGAGUGGAAAGUUCACACUGUGACGGUAUCUUACCAGAAAGGGACGGCUAACUACGUG